ACAUUUUCCUGACUUUGGCCCCUUACCAAAUUGUAGUUUAUUUAAAAUCACCUCUUUUCUUCCUUCCACAUUAUACAUGUAGAAUACUGCAAACACCAAAAAAAAUUUCCAAUUUCAUUUACAAUCCCAAAUUUUAUAAAUAAAUUCUCAGAAAUAAAAAACCCUGCCUUAUAUAUAUGCGCUUCUUAUUAUUAUUAUCGCCCCUUGUUGUUAAUAGACUACCAAUUCCAAACCCAUUAUUCGAUUUCUACAAAUCGAAGGCACUUUUCGGAUUCCGAAUGGCGUCGGCGAAAGCAAAGGCGCCGGCGGUGAACAAGUUUGCGAUAGAGGAGGAAGGUGUGGGUAUAGCGAGGAGGUGUUGGAUCAACUUCAAGAAAGAGUCUACCUUUGCACUUUACACUCCAUUUGUCGUUUCCUUAGCUUCUGGAACCUUGAAUCUUGAUACUUUCCGACAUUAUAUUGCUCAGGAUGUUCACUUCCUCAAGGCAUUCGUUCAAUCGUAUGAAGCUGCAGAAGAGUGUACUGACGAUGACGAUGCGAAGGUUGGCAUUAGUGAAUUGCGCAAGAAUAUUACUGAAGAACUUAAAAUGCAUGAUGCUGUUUUGAAAGAGUGGGGCAUUGAUUUGGUCAAAGAGUGCACUCUUAACCCUGCAACGGCGAAGUACACAGAUUUUUUAUCAGCUACAGCUUCAGGAAAGGUUGAAGGAGUAAAAGCUGCUAAACUUGCCACGCCAUUUGAGAGAACGAAGUUGGCAGCUUAUACUCUAGGUGCUAUGACUCCUUGCAUGAGACUUUAUGCCUACAUUGGUAAGGAGCUGCAAGUGUUUCUCGAGGGAGAGAAAACUCAUCCAUACAAGAAGUGGAUUGACAGUUAUGCCUCUGAAGAUUUCCAGGCAUCAGCUCUACAGACAGAGGACUUGUUGGAUAAACUGAGUGUAUCUUUGACAGGCGAGGAGCUUGACAUUAUUGAAAAACUUUAUCAUCAAGCAAUGAAACUUGAAAUACAGUUCUUCUUAGCCCAGCCACUUGUUCAGAAAGCUAUCAUCCCUUUGUCAAAAGAUCACAACCCUGAUGAACACCAGCUAACAAUAUUUUCCGAUUUUGAUUUGACAUGCACUGUUGUUGAUUCUUCUGCCAUCUUGGCUGAAAUUGCAAUUAUAACAGCACCAAAAUCUGAUCAAAAUCGACCAGAGAAUCAAAUUGCGAGGAUGUCAUCGGCCGAGUUAAGGAAUACAUGGAGCGAUCUCUCUAAGCAGUACACCGAAGAGUAUGAGCUAUGUAUUGAGAAGAUGUUACUUACUGAGAAAGCAGAAAAAUUUGAUUACAGAAGACUGCGUAAAACACUUGAGCAACUUUCUGAUUUUGAGAAAAGGGCAAAUAGCAGGGUGGUUGAAUCUGGGGUACUGAAAGGUCUGAACCUUGAAGACAUUAAACGAGCUGGGCAGCGAUUGAUUCUCCAGGAUGGUUGCACCAACUUUUUCCAGAGCAUAAUAAGAAAAGAAAACCUGAAUGCAGAUAUUCAUGUCCUCUCCUAUUGCUGGUGUGGUGACCUUAUUAGGUCUUCCUUUUCAUCAGGGGGAAUAGAUGGUCUCGAUGUACAUGCCAAUGAGUUUAUGUUUCAAGAAUCUCUAUCCACUGGUGAAAUUGUUAAGAAAGUUGAAUCCCCCAUUGACAAGGUUCAAGCGUUCAAUAAAAUUUUAAUGAAUUGUUGCAAGGACAAAAAGAAUCUGAUGGUAUAUAUUGGGGAUUCAGUUGGCGACUUACUUUGCUUGCUGGAAGCAGAUGUUGGGAUUGUGCUUGGUUCGAGCUCAAGUCUAAGGAGGGUGGGGAAUCAUUUUGGUGUUUCUUUUGUUCCUCUUUUCCCAGGUGUCGUCCAGAAACAGAAGAUGUACGCUGGGGUAGACUCAUCUAGUUGGAAGGGACUUUCUGGUGUUCUCUAUACUGCCUCAGGCUGGGCUGAGAUACAUGCUUUUGUAUUGGGAUCAUAAGUCUUCAAGUUACAUAUUCAACAUGCUAAUUAGGACAUAUGGAGAAAAAACCUUACGAAGUAUAUCAAUGCGUACAGAAUUGUGGCUAGUUUUAUUGCAGGCCACACCUAUUCUUUUCCAUUUUUGUUUUUCUACAGGGUCUUCUAUUCAGAAAUGUAAAUGUGAUUCAUUUGGCUGGAGAUUGUAUGAGUACAGCAUAUGUUAAAUAUGAGCAAGAUGCCAAUGGUUUUGGAGCAGGUGGUUUAAUGGUUUUGAAGCGUGCUGUAUCACUUCUUUGUCUCUGAAGCUAUUGGAAACAAUUAUUUUUGAUUGAUUAUUAUGGGUAUUUUUAGACCAGAAGCUGGAAGAAGGGUAUUUGUGAGCUAUUUGUUCAUAUGUUAAGGGUAUUUGAUCCUAUUUCAUUUUACCAAUCUAAUACUUUAGCUCGACAACUAUUGAAAACGAUUAUUGGUUGUAGUGUGGUGUUUUGUAAUGAAUGAUCUAGCUAUCACCAUUCCAGUUUUCAUAUGCUUUUCGUGUGCACAUAAA